GCAUGGGACAGUCAUUCUUCCUAGCACCUCAGUCCCAACUGAACUGAUUUAACAGAUUCAAGCCUGCACAGCAGUGACUGGAGAUACAGCAACCUUGUAUGAAAAGUGCCGAUAAGACAGUGCAGCCAACAGAAGGUUGCAUCUCUGCGCCCACGGUCCUGCUCGACAGUGGCUGAGACGUGCAACACAGUUGCGCCCAACUUCCCUCUAUGCUACAAGCACCACAGGAGCUACUAUCGCCCAAAGAUGUCACAGGUGGUCAUGAUUCUUUGAGGCAGCGGAAUUUCACCGCAGUGCAUCUUUAACACCUUCAGUUUCUUUUCUACUGCAAGCCUGGUACUACAGCUUGUGGCCCGUGUAGAAGAAUAGAGGGGUGAAACCAAGGCUCAAGUGACUGUGGACUCAUGGCCCUCAGACAGCUAGAGCACCAGACCAGGCACAGACCAGAGCCAUUUAUGCUCCACUUCUAGAGGACAUGUUGCAGUUUGAAACUACCAAGACUCAUGGAAGCUGCUGACAGGAGGCUGUUGAAGCCGUGGUCGCAAGGCACCCAUGACAUUGAAGUCUUCCAAACAAGGCACUAUGAAGGCAUGACUUGUAGCGGCACUGGAGCAAGCGACACGGUCCGGGUUGGUGACCAACCCAAAACCGCCCUCGGCCACUGGUGUUCUGCCGGUGCCAGGAUCCCAGGUCGGUGGCCGACCCAAAGCCACCCUCGGCCACUGGCGUCCUGCCGGUGCCACGAUAUCAUCUCGGUGGCCGACCCAAAGCCGCCAUCGGCCAUUGGGGUCCUGCUGGUGCCAGGAUUUCAGGUAGGUGGCCGACCCAAAUCCGCCCUCGGCCACUGGUGUUUUGCCAGUGCCACGAUAUCAUCUCGGUGGCCGA
rnacentral:lncRNA from 1 species